rnacentral:rRNA from 1 species
UGAAUACGAGAUGCUACGGCGUCGAAGCAGUCUAUGUCAUACUUCCAAGAAAAGCUUGCACUGUCAUAAACAAAUAAUGCCUGUACCAUAACCGACACAGGUGGGUAGGUAGAGUAUACUAAGGGGCGCGAGAUAACUCUCUCUAAGGAACUCGGCAAAAUGACUCCGUAACUUCGGGAGAAGGAGUGCCUUAUUUAUAAGGUUGCAAUAACAAGACCCAAGCAACUGUUUAUCAAAAACACAGGUCUCCGCUAAGUCGUAAGACGAUGUAUGGGGGCUGACGCCUGCCCAGUGCCAGAAGGUUAAAGAAGUUGGUUAGCAUUAGCGAAGCUGAUGACUGAAGCCCUGGUGAACGGCGGCCGUAACAAUAACGGUCCUAAGGUAGCGAAAUUCCUUGUCGGGUAAGUUCCGACCCGCACGAAAGGCGUAAUGAUUUGGGUACUGUCUCAGAGAGGGACUCGGUGAAAUAGACUUGUCUGUGAAGAUGCGGACUACCUGCACCUGGACAGAAAGACCCUAUGAAGCUUUACUGUAACCUGAAAUUGAAAUUGGACUUUAUUUGCGCAGUAUAGGUGGGAGGCUUUGAAGAUAUUCUUGCGGGAAUGUUGGAGCCAUCAGUGAGAUACCACUCUUGUAAUGUUAGAUUUCUAACUUUGUAUCAUUAUCUGGUCAAAGAACAGUUUCAGGCGGGCAGUUUGACUGGGGCGGUCGCCUCCUAAACGGUAACGGAGGCGCACAAAGGUUUCCUCUGAACGGGUAGAAAUCGUAUCUAGAGUGUAAAGGCAUAAGGAAGCUUGACUGUGAGACCUACAAGUCGAGCAGGGACGAAAGUCGGUCUUAGUGAUCUGACGGUGCUGAGUGGAAAGGCCGUCACUCAACGGAUAAAAGUUACUCUAGGAUAACAGGCUGAUCUCCCCCAAGAGUUCACAUCGACGGGGAGGUUUGGCACCUCGAUGUCGGCUCAUCGCAUCCUGGGGCGGUAGUACGUCCCAAGGGUUGGGCUGUUCGCCCAUGAAAGCGGUACGCGAGCUGGGUUCAGAACGUCGUGAGACAGUUCGGUCCAUAUCCGGUGUAGGCGUUAGAAUAUUGAGAGGAGCCUUCUCUAGUACGAGAGGACCGAGAAGGACACACCUCUGGUGUACCAGUUAUCGUGCCAACGGUAAACGCUGGGUAGCUAUGUGUGGAGCGGAUAACCGCUGAAAGCAUCUAAGUGGGAAGCCCACCUCAAGAUAAGUAUUCUCAUG